GACGAACGCUGGCGGCGUGGAUUAGGCAUGCAAGUCGAACGGUAUCAUCCUUUCGGGGGUGAGAGAGUGGCGAACUGGUGAGUAACACGUAGGUUAUCUACCCUCAAGACGGGGACAACCCAGGGAAACUUGGGCUAAUACCGGAUGUGAGCAACUUUUAGUUGUUUGAAAGGUGGCGUAAGCUGUCGCUUGGGGAUGAGCCUGCGUCCUAUUAGUUAGUUGGUGAGGUAACGGCUCACCUAGGCAAUGAUAGGUAGGCGGCCUUAACGGGUGGUCGCCCACACUGGGAUUGAGAUACGGCCCAGACUCCUACGGGAGGCAGCAGUCGAGAAUAGUCUACAAUGGUCGGAAGACUGAUAGUGCGACGCCGCGUGAACGAUGAAUCCCUUCGGGGUGUAAAAGUUCUUUUAUAUGUGAGCAGUGCUUCUAUAUUAACAGUAUGGGGAGAGAGAUAUUAGCAUAUGAAUAAGCAACGGCUAAACUCCGUGCCAAGCAGCCGCGGUAAUA
rnacentral:rRNA from 1 species